AGCGGCGUGGCAUAGUGGUUAAGGAGCAGGGCUCGUAACCGAAAGGUUGCAGGUUCGAUUCCCCGCUGAAG
rnacentral:tRNA from 1 species